CACACACACAAGCCUGACUUCUGUGUCCCUAUCUACCCCACAAGUCUGACUUCUAUGUCCCCAUCCACCCACAAGCCUGACUUCCUUGUCCCCAUCCACCCAUAAGUCUGACUUCUAUGUCCCUAUCUACCCACAAGUCUGACUUCUGUGUCCCCAUCCAGCCACAAGUCUGACUUCUAUGUCCCCAUCCACCCACAAGCCUGACUUCCUUGUCCCCAUCAACCCACAAGUCUGACUUCCUUGUCCCCAUCAACCCACAAGCCUGACUUCCUUGUCCCCAUCAUCCCACAAGCCUGACUUCCUUGUCCCCAUCCACCCACAAGCCUGACUUCCUUGUCCCCAUCCACCCACAAGCCUGACUUCUGUGUCCCCAUCCACCCCAGCAUCUCCCCUCCAAGGAUACUGAUCCAGUCACACACAUGUGUAAAGACCAAUACAAACAUAUAUAUAAAUACAUUGUGUCUACAAUGAAAUUGCUCACAAACAUUUGGAGGAACAUGAGAAUAUUUUCUUAUUUUCUAAGUAAACAAUUGUUGGUUCUGGACAAUGUAUUACUCUCUGGUGUGUGUGAUUGUAGUUGAUGAACCUUCUCUGAUUUCACCAUAUGCUGAAAUAGGAAGACCUGUAUGCUUUGUGUGUUACCAUAAUAUCCAUUAUUUUGUAGAUGAAGCAGUUUUGUGUCCUUGUUUCAUAAAAUGUCUUGUUACAGUUAUCCCUGAACUAAUAUUACUUGCGAAACCAUAGUUUUGACAAACAAAAUAAACCAAGCUACUAGGUUAUUAAUCGCCCAGGCUUUCAAUAUCUGAAUAGAUGACAUAUCCUUAUUAAUAUUCAAAAUACAACAUCUCUUUCAAUACAACUGCAGGAUGCAUAAUGACCUCCUUUCAUUAUGGAAAUGGCUAAAAGAAAUAUUUUAUCUACAAAAGGUUUAACUCAAAUAUUAAUUGGCUGUCCGUGGCAUGGACUGGUCAGGACAUAUGAUUAUAAGUCAAGUGAGCCAAGGUCAUAGCCUGCUUGUCCUCAUCCAGCAUCAGUUCCCAUUGGUGGCAUCUGCAGACAUCUCCCGAAUCCCAAAGGUUUAAUGAGCUGAAACUUCACAAUCUUCAUCCCACCAUUGAUGACACUUAAAUUUGUUCAAGAGGUUUGAAUCUGACUUUCAAUGUGUCUGCCAUUAAGUUGUGACCUUUCUUUGACCUUUGACAUCACCCUGCUCCUAAAUAUUUCCGUCAAUCAUUUGCAGGCACUGUAAACAUCAUCCCAUCAGAAAACACUGGACCAAACAAAUAUCGUAUUUUAGAUGCUUGUUCCAACCAAUGAUAAGUCCUGAAUUUGUUCUUGAGGUUCCAGCCCAAUUUUCAAUUAUGAUGAAACUGAAAGAGCUCUGUAUGGCAAUUACAGAUUACAGUAUAGCAAUUAAUGUUAUUAUUAUAUCAGGCCUUUGCACUUUCUCCCUACCGAAAGCUGAAACUCCAUUAAUUUCCCAGUGUGUGUCAUUGGUAGUCUGGCUCAGCCUCCAAUGCUGACAUUAUGAGUUUGGUCCUCGAUUUGACCCUUGCACUUGGAUCUUCUCCUAAAUGCACUCAAAAUGGUUUUCUAAGUGGUUGUCUUUUUAUGUUCUAAAGUGACGACCAGAUGAGCUACAGUACUUGGGCACUCUUUUUAUCUUAAUCUGGAUAACAAAUAUACUUCUGUUAGUUCGUUACAAGUAUCAUCAAGUAUUGUGUCUUGUGACAAAUUUGUUUAUGUAAAAAGAAUGAAAUCUCAAAGUUAAUUUACUCUGACCUUGUCUGAUUUUGAAACACUGGAUGACCAUUUACACUGCCAGAUGCAAUAUCGCACAUUAAAUAAAUGUAAAUCGUGUUUAUUCAUAUUCCAGGUCACUUCCUCAUUGAAACGCUCAGGAUGAAAUAUCCAUGGUCAUGUUGACAUUAUUUCAUACAUAUUAAUAUAUAAAUAUAUAUUUCAUUCUGUGGAAUGUAUAUUUACUACUGAGAAUUUGGCAACACAAUACAAAGUUUCAGACAAUGUUAGUGUUAUGUUGAAGGUUGUUGUGAAUUUAUUACUUACCAUGUACAUACAUACCUGAGUUGGUUUCUCAGCAUUAGUGAAUAUACCAGAUUGCCAUGGUAAUUGUUAUGGAAUUGGUAUGUGUUUGAGAAUGUUGGUUUAAAAGCAAUAUUAUGUUUAAGGGGAAAAUGCCAGCUUGUAUGAAAUCAGGCAAUACAUUACGGUUCAUUUAGGAUAGUCUUCAUUCAACAUGUCAGUUCAGUACAGGAGUAGGACCUUAACAUGAAGGAUAUCUGGGCAACCAUGGACAGAAGUAAUAUUGGCCCUAAAAUGUUAUUUUGCCUGAAACAUGCUUUCUAGACAGGCUGGCUUUGAAAACUGUAUGUGUGGUUGUUUGUAUGGCACUCGGCAUCUAAUCUCGAACAGAUGAAUAGUAUGUAUGAUCCUUUCUAUAAGUCGAUUUUUAAAUCUUGAAUGUUUUCCUCUGAAGUCUCAGGUUCAAUAUUGAUAUGAUAUGCACAGCCUUUGAUCUCCAUGUCAUCACAGUCCAUUGGAAUGUAUCCUUUAUCAAAGAACUUUUUCAGGUGGAACUACACGUUUUUGACACAACAAUGGCCUCAACGUAUUAAUAUUGGUUCAGUUUAUGCUUACAAAGUCAGGAACUCAUUGGGAAGUUGGAUUUGGGUUUUUGGUUAGGGUAUUUUUAUUCACCUUUCUAUAAAAACAACCUAUAUAUCCUGCAAAUAUAAAAUGUUUAUGGAGUAUCUUUGCAGAGAAUAUACAGCUUCACACAUUGGUAGAAUCCUGUGUCACUAGAAUGGAAUCUUGUCACUGAAACCAACAUGUCAGCAUGAGUUCAUUGCAGUAGCCAUUUAAUCCUUUUUACUGGGAUGGGAAUUGGAAGAUACAGAUCCUUGUGACCUGCUAUGAUUAAUUCAGUGCUAUAUUUGUGGAAUAGAACAUUACAGCUUCAAAUUAACCACCAAUAAAAUAAUCUGUGAGUGGAUGAAAAUGUACUGUCCCAUUGGCUAUAUUCUGGCACAACACAAGACGGUCGUACCAUUGUAAGUGACCUUGGGAUAAUGGUUAAAUAAAUAUGUUGGAUAUAUUGUUGGAGCAGUGCAGAAUACUUUCUAAGGGUCUUGAGAAACUGAACAGUUUCUACACGAACUUGUUUCCAUCAAGACACUUGUGAAAGUGGGAGACUCUGAUGAGCACUGUAGGGUACCAAUGAAAAUGUUAUUGUACCUGUACAAGCUCUGUGAUAAAGUCUGACUUUGAA
rnacentral:lncRNA from 1 species